UCUGCGCGGAAAAUGUAACGGGGCUAAGCGUAACACCGAAGCUUGGGAUGCACGUAAGUGUGUGGUAGGGGAGCGUCGAAUGAGGGGUGAAGUCGUAGCGGAAGCAGCGGUGGACUUCAUUCGAGUGAGAAUGCCGGAAUGAGUAGCGAGAAUUAUGUGGGAAUCAUAAUGGCCGAAAAUCUAAGGUUUCUUGGGGAAGGUUCGUCCGCCCAAGGUAAGCCGGGAGCUAAGGCGAGGCCGCGAGGCGUAGUCGAUGCACAUACGGUUGAAAUUCCGUAGCCACCGAAACUUAAAUCAGAGGGACACUUGGAGCUAGCUGGACCCGGGCGUUGGUUGACCCGGGCGAAAGGGACCGAAAACAAGUAGGGAAGCCAGUGAAUGACGAGGCGAGAAAAGCUCUGAUGUAUGCUAAGGUGCCCGUACCGCAAACCGACACAGGUAGAUGAGGAGAGAAUCCUAAGGCCAACGGGAGAAGGGUUGUUAAGGAACUCGGCAAAAUUACCCCGUAACUUCGGGAUAAGGGGAGCCCCCGUGAGGGGGCCGCAGAGAAUAGGCCCAAGCGACUGUUUACCAAAAACACAGGUCUAUGCUAAAUCGAAAGAUGACGUAUAUGGGCUGACGCCUGCCCGGUGCUGGAAGGUUAAGAGGAGGGCUUAGCGCAAGCGAAGGUCUGAAUUGAAGCCCCAGUAAACGGCGGCCGUAACUAUAACGGUCCUAAGGUAGCGAAAUUCCUUGUCAGGUAAGUUCUGACCCGCACGAAUGGCGUAACGAUUUGGGCGCUGUCUCAACAGCCCACCCGGCGAAAUUGUAGUACUGGUGAAGAUGCCAGUUACCCGCAACUAGACGGAAAGACCCCAUGGAGCUUUACUGUAGCUUAAUACUGAGGAUUGGUAAAUGAUGUACAGGAUAGGUGGGAGACUUGGAAGUCAGGGCGUCAGCUUUGAUGGAGUCAACCUUGGGAUACCACCCUUCAUUUGCUGGUUUUCUAACCUGCGGCCGUGAAUCCGGUCGGGGGACACUGUUAGGUGGGCAGUUUGACUGGGGCGGUCGCCUCCAAAAAGGUAACGGAGGCGCUCAAAGGUUCGUUCAGCACGGACGGAAAUCGUGCAGUGAGUGUAAACGCAGAAACGAGCCUAACUGCGAGGGUGACAAUCCGAGCAGUAACGAAAGUUGGAGUUAGUGAUCCGGCGGUAUGUGAGUGGAAAUGCCGUCGCUCAACGGAUAAAAGCUACCCUGGGGAUAACAGGCUGAUCUCCCCCAAGCGUCCACAGCGACGGGGAGGUUUGGCACCUCGAUGUCGGCUCGUCACAUCCUGGGGCUGAAUUCGGUCCCAAGGGUUCGGCUGUUCGCCGAUUAAAGUGGCACGCGAGCUGGGUUCAGAACGUCGUGAGACAGUUCGGUCCCUAUCUGUUGCGGGCGAAAGAGAUUUGAAGGGAGCUGUCCUUAGUACGAGAGGACCGGGAUGGACAGACCUCUGGUGCACCAGUUGUCGUGCCAACGGCACAGCUGGGUAGCUACGUCUGGACGAGAUAAACGCUGAAAGCAUCUAAGCGUGAAACUCCCCCUAAGAUAAGAUCUCUCAUCCCUCGAGGAGUAAGGCGCGUCGUAGACUAUGACGUUGAUAGGUCGGAGGUGUAAGCACAGCAAUGUGUUGAGCUGACCGAUACUAAUCCGCCGAGGGCUUGACCUG
rnacentral:rRNA from 1 species